AAAAUCUUUCGCUUUGAUAACACGUUUUGUCAAAAGUGGUUACCAGCCUGAGAAAGCAAUUUGCGGAUGUAGAAAGAGUUGGGGAGGUUAUCCGAGAAGCCGGAAGUAACUUCAAUGUAUAGACAUAAAUGAAAAUGACUUUACAUCCAGAUGGCGAUUCAUUUUUACACGGCAAAUGGGCGGACGAGGCAAUCGAGGCGCUGGUUUUCAGUGUCCAUCGUUUUGCCGUUCAUGUGAACAAGCUGAGUGGACAUAUUAAGAACUACACUGUCACGCCGAAAACGCUGAACGCCUCGGAAGUCAAUACAAAUGUCAAGAGUUUGAAAAUCUAUCAGCAAGAUGGAGUUUGAGACCAACAGGGAGGAAGUAGCCACGUGAGUUACGCCGUGCUUCUCGUAAAAUCUCCAAGGAAUAGUGAAGACAUAUCGUGUUAUUACGCGGAGGAUUUAAGCUUCAUCAAACAAUUCCCCCUUCUCCCUUUCAUUUGAUCUAUGCUUUCUUUCAUUAAUAGGCAAUUAUUUCACUAAUAUUAAUAAUUGGAUUAUUGUACUUCUUUGUAAAUUAUUUUCAUCCGACACUUCUCAAGCUCAAAUCUUCGAAAUCCUUGAUGUUCUAUUUCAAUUUGCUUGUUUUAAUGACAGUUUUGCUAUUUAUAAAAAUGUAUUCUUCUGUUUUAGUAAAAUUUCAAGUAGGUUUUCGUUUAUUUUAUCACAUCCUGUUUGGCGAAGCUUGGACUUAGUAUGUAAGAUUUUUCUAUUAUUUACAUUCAUUAUUAAAUUAUAAAACAUCAUUGAAACAAUACGACAGCAAUAUACAUAUUGUUAUUUGUUUAUAUUUCGUGUUGUUGCGGAUUUUCGCAUAUUAAAAAUAUUUACUGUAAAUGUUACUAAAUGACAAUAUUUUUGAUAUAAUCUUAUACAUCUUUUAAAGUUGCCUAGAGAUCAGAUUCAUGCUUUCGUUUCCUUUGUGUUUUCUCAAUAAACAUCAUUUUGUUGUUUAUUAUCUUUCUAGUAUUGCUGUAGCCUUUUAAUUUUCCAUCUCUACUUUUCAUGUAUUAAGUUAUAUUUCAGUAUUCAUUUAUCAAAAGUAUCUAGAGGUUUCAGUCGUUUAGGAAUAUUUUCAUUAGAUUCCAAAUUUGUAUGAUUCUGUAUUAUUUUAUUAAUUAGUAAUUGUUUCCUUAUAUUACAUAAAUACAUUGAAUUAGUUUAUUCUAAAUAUAGCCUAUACACACUAAAGUUGAAUAGGAAUGCCUUUACUGCCUUAAAGUGUAGGUUGACCUUAUAUCGCCAUUAGUGCUUUUAUUUUGUGUAGUUCAUGUAGUACAUCAAUAAGUUAUUAUACUCUUAGCUUCCUCUUCAGUCUUCUAAGCCUUAUUCGCUAGUUCUAAUUAUUUCAUGACUUUUCAGACAAAUAGUUUUUGGAUGGUAAAAAUUCACCGAAACGAUAACUAGACAUCCAUUGUCAACUUUGCGUUGGAUUAUGAUUUGGGUGAGUUUCCGCUCGAUUGCUCCAUUAAGAUCUUACUGUCUCGUAGAACUUAUAAAUCGAAGACAUCCAAAAACUCAUGAUAAUACAAUCCUUUCAAUUAAAUUAUCUUUUCUUCCUAUACCUCAGUAAAAUGUAUUUCAUCAUCUUUUGUCUCUUUUUUAUGCAAUACAUCCACUUAGUGUAGUGAUCAGCUAUUGUAUUUAUCGUUAUUGCUAUUCUCUAGCUCCACAAUUAUGGUAAUCGCAUUGUGCCCUAUCUGUGUUAGCAGUAGAUUGAUUGAUGAUAAUUGUAGUGCAAUAUUAUAAUGUCGAUUCCUAAAGUAUGAUAUAUCCAUUAACGACAUUUGAAUGUAUUCACAAGAUGCCUAUUAGAAAGUAAAGUACAUAUUUAUCAAAGAUUUGUAUACAUCUGUUAAAUUUUACGGUUCAUAAAACGCCUUAAUCGUUGGGGUUUGUUUUAUGAAAUAUUGCUUUUCUUUUUAUAUUGACUUAUAAUUUAAUAUUGAUUAUUUAUGUUGUAUACAAUAGUGUGAUCUCUCUUCUUUGUUUUAUAAUAUAAUGUAAUCUGUUCAAAUUUUUUUCAAAAUAAAAUUCCUUCGUUAUUAUUUAAUUUUAUAAUGAUGAGCUUUUUUACACAUUGCUAGAUGACACGGCUGGUAACAGAUUUUUAACGUCUUUUAUCACCAAGAGAAUGGGCGAGAUUUUUACGAAAACCACGAAGUCUAGUAUAGGGUAAGAGCUCUUCUCCUUUUUACUUUUGGGCAUUACAGUUUUAUAUGACACUUAUAUUAUGGGAAAUUAUUGUUGACUUAUAGAAAAGUUAAUUUGGAUGGUUAGUUGUAGUCAAUUACCAUAAUAUGUUUUGAUAUAAUAAUAAUUAUUACAUAUUUACAUUCGAUAUUAAUUUUACUUAGUUAUUAACUUUAUUGACAAAAAUUUGUGUACACACGGUCAACAUCUUGUAUCGUUGCUAAAGUCGGAAUAAAGCUAUAUUUUUUAUUUUUUUAUGACCACUGAUGCUAGUCCUUCAAUCAGAGGAUAAAGCUAUUAUUAAUAAGUAUUGCUUGAUUUGACUUAUUCUUUAACCUUAAAAAAAAGAUACAUAAAAACAGAAUAACGGAUAUUGCAGAUUUCUUUAAGUAUUUUAGCCAUCCUAAAUUUAUGAACAUUGCAAAAUUAACUUAUCUUAUCAUUGAUUGAUUAUGAAUUAUACUUUUAUAUUAAAAUACUUAAAUGGUAGGUUUCUUUAAGUUUAUAUUCGAAAAGGGGUAUGUGGAUAGUUCAAUAGCAAAUACAGAUCAUUAAGCGACGAUAAAAAUGAUCUAGCCUUACUAAUAUUAAGGUUGUUGUUAAUAAAUAAAAAUGACAAAAAAAAUACAAAAUGAUACAAAAUAAAAAUAAAAACAUUUUUUACACAAAAUAAGCUCAGCCAAAGUACAAAAAAGAAGAUGCAAAUCAAACUUUUUACUUAGUAUGUUGGGGUUGGAAUUAUCUGAUCCAUUUAUUUCGUGAUCUUAAGCGGGCUAUUAAGAUUAACAUCCAUUAUAUCUAAGGUCUCAUUGGGAGGUGGUUGAAGACCCGCUUAAUGGCCAUAUAUUAUGUCUAAUAUUUAAGAAAACUAAUUAAAGAUUAACCAUUUAGCAUUAAGAUUAAUUAGCAAUAUCAUUAAAGUUAGCUUUUAUAAAUAAAAUAAAAAUAAAAAAAAAAACUAAAAAAAAAACAAAUCCAAAAAAUAAUUACUUUUAAAUUUUAUUAUUAUUUUUCAUUAAACAAAUAUAUGUUUCAAUACAUAUAUAAGUGGUACAUAUUACUAAAUUAAUCUAGGACAUGAUUUAAUGUUACUAAAAUAAGAAAUUAACUAUUUAAGCUAUGCUGUAAGCCUUAUACUUUUAUAUCUUACAUUAUGUCUUUCUGUGAAACUAAAAGAUCUUUCUGAUUAGCCAUCUUCUAAGUACCAACAAUCUUUAUGCAUUUAAAUAACACUUUCUAAGGAUUAAAACGCGUGUAAUUGUAACGGUUUUACAUUAAAUGUUUGCGAAAAAUUACAUUUUUAUUUUAGUUAUCCCCCUGAAAACGAGAUCUGGAUAGGUCUUGAAACUUCGGGUUAACCAAAAUAAAAAUGUAACUUUUACGCAAACAUCUAAUGUGAAACCGUUACACGCGUUUUAAUCCUUUAAAAGUGUUUUAUUUAAAUGUGUAACACUCGCGUUAAUAAAAGAAAAUACUAACCUUUAUGCAUUUUUUCUACAAUUCUAAUUUUGUUAUUCCAUAAUGGAUAACUUAAUUAUGAAGCUAUUUCAGUUACUCAUCCUCAAUGUUUGCAUACAUUGUUAUCUUACGUCACAUUUUUAUUUCUUACCUUCCAUAUUAACUUCCCGGUUUAAAAAUUUCAAAAACUUCUUUUCGCUUCAUUGCGUGUCUUCUACCGCAUUUAUCACGGGAAGUGUUCCGAGGGGUGAGCGGUUUAACCUGAUUUCUGCUGCCGAAUUCCACCUUCGCACGACACGCCACAAGUUAGGUUAUCAUCCCCACCUCUGGAUGUGUGGUUUUCAAGGAGCUUUCUUCUUCGUACUACAAAGCUGUGGAAUGAGCUUCCUUGUGCGGUGUUUCCGGGACGAUACGACAUGGGUACCUUAAAAAAAAAGCGCGUACACCUUCCUUAAAGGCCGGCAAUGCUCUUGUGUUUCCGUUGGUGUUGCAAGAGAAUGUGGGCGGCGGUGAUCACUUAACACCAGGUGACCCGUACGCUCGUUUUUCCUCCUAUUAAAAUAACAUAAAAACAAAACCGGGGUUAUUUCUAUCCCAUUUUUCGAAAAUCGAGUUUUCGUCAGAUCUCGACGUUUUGAGAUGCUAGGAACCUUCCCUAACUAUUCCCGCGAUGGUGUAAACAUAGAACGGCUUAACUAUUUCAUUAUAUACUCUCAAUCUUUAUAUCCAAUAUUAGUGUAUAAAAACGUAAAAUAGUAAGUAAAUUUUAUUUACUAUAUAUAACGGAUCAAUACUGUUCAGUUAUCUAUUUCAUAAAACUGUUAGUUAAUAUCAAAAUAAAUUUAUAUUUAGUGUUAAUUGUUGACAUUAUAUAAAAACAACAUUGAUCAUUGCGGACAGUCUUCCAGACAAUCUAUUUUAAAACUUUAAUUUCAAGGGAUCCUGAGUGGCGCAAAAGAAACUUAAAUAAUUUAAGGCUUAAUGUAAUAAGUUAAUAAUAAAGUAAGGUUUUAAUAGAAUAAUUAAUAAUGGUUGAUUUUCAUUCAAUGUAAUGCUGUAUUCUCAUCAAAACAUCUAUAUGUUUUGAUGCUACUUUACUUUAGAUACUUUCGUCAACAGAACGCAUACCAGUAGUAGGCAUCCUUUGCACAGGUUGCCAGCUAGAUUAUGGGUACCACAACGGCGCCUAUGUCUGACAAGAAGCAGUAGUGUGUACGCAUUACUGUGUUUCGGUCUGAAGGGCACCAUAGCUAGUGAAAUUACUGGGAAAAUGAGACUUAACAUCCUAUGUCUUAAGGUGACGAGCACAAUUGUAGUUCCGCUCAGAAUUAUAGAAGAAUCCCGAGCCGCACUGCAUUGUUAUGGGCAGGGCGUAUCAAUUACCAUCAGCUGAAUGUCCUGCUCGUCUCGUCCCUUGCUGUCAUAAAAAAGCCAUUAUUCUCUGGAAUUUAAAUUAUAGAUUUAGUGCGGUUAUUCCUUUUUUCGCUCACAAUAAUUUAUUGCAAUCAUUUCGAUUAUGGCGGUACUUACAUAGUUUGCUUCUUAACUUUGCUUGCGUGCAUUCCGUUGGUGGUGGGAUUAACAUCUUUGGGCGGUUGGGGUUUAUGUAUCUGCAACAAAACAUUUAUAUGUUUUGUUGCAUAUACAAUGCAUCAAUGAAUUGCAUGAAUUAUUCGGAUUAUUUAUCUUGUUAAGUCUGGGUCAUCCAAUUACCAUAAGUACCGCCCUUCAAGAGCAUGACGGCAACACCUUUACUUAAAUUGAUUGAAAAUCUUCUGUAUUUUAUUGUUGCUGUACUGACAUCGAGUAUGACAGUGUGUUUUAUUAUUAGCCUUGGGUUUGGUUAGGUAUUAGGCGAUGCCUACAGGAUUCACUGCAGAUAAUGUUGAUUUAUCUUAUUAGCUUGGGUUAAGAUUAGAUGUUAGGCUAGAUGAUCGGGAUUCACCGCGGCUUGAAUUUAACAUAACACAAUCUAGGUUAUUAGGUACAAAAUAUGUUAGGUGAAGUGAUAUAGAUGCACUGCCACUAAUGUCUUACUUAUCUUAUUAGCUUAGUUUAGGUUAAGUUGUUAGUCGAGGUGUCGAGAUUUACCGAGCCUAAUGAUUGUUUACCAUAUUAGUUUAGGAUAUAUUUAGGUGGUAGGUGAGGUGAUAGAGAUUGAACGCAUCCUGAGAUUAUAUAUAGAUUUAGUUGAAUAAUAAUUUAAUUCCCUACAAGGAAUGAAAAUCUGAUGAUUUUCUUAGCAUUUAAACUGACGCAUCACAUCUUAUGAAAUUAAAUUAUAACCAUAGAUAUGAUAAGAAAUACAUUUUAAGAAUAUAGGAUUUUGAAUACCUAAGUGGCAUAACAUGUUGACUAAUAAUAAUAAUAUAUACGGUUAUUUAUGUUACUGUAAUCUUAUCAUAUGUUCGCAAUUAUUACAUCUUUCAUAAUUUCAAACACUAAGACUUUAUGUAAAGUCUACUCGUGGUCGUGACUUGUCUUAAUACGUCCGCCGUUUCAAGAGCUUUGCGCGUCGUGGACUUGAAGAUUGUCUUUCUUCUACUAACUUAUUUUCUUUUGAGUAUUUAAAUUAUUAUCAUGUUUAUAAUAAUUGUAGUAACAUUAGAGUUUUCUUAAUUUUAUAUAAUAUGUUAAGAAGUAUUAUUAGUUCUGCUUCUGACCACACUUUUUUUCAAUCUGUCUAACGUUUAAAUAUUCAACAUAGUCCUUUACAUUGAUUUUUGGCCGAUUGCGAGAUUGCUUGUCUGUGUUAAAGCCGACCAAGCUGAGACUAACCGAGAAAGUGACAAUUUUUUUUUAAUAUAGCAGCAUGAAUCAACCAACUGUUAAAUACUCCGGCAUAACAAGUUGUCCAUAGAACCUCAUUCGUCUCAACCAUUGCAAAUACGGUAAUGUGAAAAUAAACAAAAAGUGAAGGAUUUAAUCCGGGAAUCAUGAAGUCCAAUCGUUGUUAGAUCAAACUUAUUUUUGUUGUCGUUUAUACUUUAAUGGUGUAUCGAUAGUUGUUAGAUAUGGCUAGGUUAGUAAAAUUGCACCAUGAGUAUAGCGGAAAUAAGUUUGUUGACACGAUUUUAUCUGAGUGAAAUACAGAGUGCGGGAUGCGAAUGUCCUUCUUUGAGCACUAUUUUCCUCAUGGACUGUAUUGACUUGCGACAACACCGACGGCCUGAAGCUUGUAUCUAACAAAGUCUCAUAGUUGACUCGCAGCAGUCGAAGCAAUGUCCAUAGACUCUGGCGGCAGAUUUAUGUUUUAAAAAUGAAAUAAUAAUUAAACUAUUUGACAUUUUGUUUUAAUUAAAAAAUUUAUAUUAAUGUGGAUUUAACUUUUGGAAGAUUAUGUCAUCCAAAUAUCUUCCUUCGAGUUGCAAACGUUGUUCAAAAUGGAGUGUUUCGCACCACACGAUGCAGUUAACUUGCAGGUGAUGAUUUUACUUUUUGAAAUAAUCGUUUUUAAAAUGAUAUAUCUGCCGCCAGAAACCCUUUAUUUUAAUACGAUUUCGAUAGCAAAUUAUCAAAAAAAUUGUUAAGUAUUGUGUUGUUCCGCAGCAGUUUAAGAGCAAGUAUCUUCGAUUUGCUCUCGUAUAUACAUAUAUAAUAAUUAGGUUUAGCAUAUAUUAUGCAAUUUAUAUAAAAUACAGAAAAUAUGAGUGAAUUAUACAGAAAAAAAAAUAUAAAACAUUUUAAAAUUUAAAAAAAAUAAUAAAAAUUAAAAAAAUAUCGAAAUAAAAAUAAGUUAGGUAGGUAUUCUUGGGCCAGUCGAUGGACCGUAAGAAGUUGUAUAUUUGAAAUUAAAUAUAGGUAAUUGUGUAUUAUAUUAGAACACAGUUUUUCUCGGGCAUUCGUGUUGACGUCAUUAUUAAUAAUAAUUUACUGUAGCUUACCAAUAUGGCAGUUAAGUUUAGGUACUUUGUUAUAACAAUAGAUAAUAUAAGUUGUACAUUUGCCAAAAAAAUAACAAAACACUCAAAUGUAGUUUAGAUUUUAGUCGACGUGAUUGAAGUUCAACACUGUAGUAGUUAGGUAUAAAUGUAAUAUGGCUUUUUAUUUUUUAUACUCACCGUAUAUCUCAUUCGCUCAUAAAGAUCUUGUCAGUAUGACAACAUAAAAAACAUCUCAAAUGUAAGAUAUAUACGUUCAAGAUUAGUAAUAUUAGUAGUAAAUAUAGAAUUUAAAAAUAUAUAAAAUGUAGAAAUAAUAUUAUGUUUAUGCAAAAAAUUUGUUAAUUGGUUUCACCUAGCUUGUUACGGAUUAUAGGGAGAUGUUUUCCAUUCCAGCUUAUAAAGCCCCGUACGGGUCUUUGUUAGGAUGCGUAAGUUCUCCCUAGUUAGUCGUAUCAUCUGGUGGGAAGUCGUAUCAGGGCUUGGAGUAGGGAUUGUUGUUGGUUAACCCACAGUGCUGAUCCAGGCUUUAAUGAUUUAUUACAAUUAUGGGAUUUUGGUGGUCAAAUUUACAAGAUUCUUUGACACCACUGAAUUUCUGAUGGGUUUGCGAAGUUAUAUCUUUGAAGAGACUUCCUUAGAACAUACGGUCUUUAGUGCUUACACUUCUAUAUUGGCCAAUUCGGCGUUCAGGAUUUGGUUUCAUAAAUUCGUGCACAAGGCGAUAGGUUCAUUAGCUCUCACACCCACAAUCAGCCACUUGCACAUUAUCCAUUGAUGGAACGCACUGGAAGAACUGAAGAACGAAGGGUUAAAUACUACUCUUAAUAACCCCGGAUUCGGAGAGACACCGUUUGAGAUUAAGCAUCGCUUCAGCCACGCAUCCAUCUGCACGGUACAAAAUUGUGAAAUCUUGGUUUUAAGAGAUUUUUAGCCAUUGGCUAUCAAUAGUCCAUGUAUCCAUAGAAAGUUACUAGCAGAUGCUCAGUUUGCACCAGCUAAUACACUCGCAUUUUAGCACAAGAGUAUUAUUAUUUCUCACUUUCAAGUGAAACACAUUGUUGAUUUUUGUAACUCUCGUAAUUUUUUACCUUUGAUUUCGAUAUCACUGAUAUUUCUUUCUUUCUAUGCUAAUAAUACUGCUAAAUUUUAAAAUAUCUUACAUGUUACAAUAAUGAUUCCUGACCUAAAUAAUAUUGAGCAUGAUGUUUGUAAUACCCUAGAGAAGGGACAGAUACUUACGUAUAAAGUAAUACUAACAUACGUACAUACUCCAAUGAUAAACAAAGUUCAAAAUUAACACUGUUGAUACCACUGCAGCAUUAUGAAUUUGGUUGUAUAUGGUUGUAAAUUCCCAGAAAAAACUAUUUGUCUCAAUCACAAAAUAGAGUGAAAUAAUAAUAAAGUGGAAAAUGUAUUCCGAGCACCGUAAAGUCCAAUCAUUGUUAGAUGAAACUUAUUUGUCGUUUUGUAUAUACUAGUGGUGUCGAUAGUUGUUAGAUAUGGCUAGGUUAGUAAAAUGGCACCAUGAGUAUCGCGGAAAUAAGUUUGUUGACACGAUUAUUAUCUUAAUGUCCUUUGUUGAGUGCAAUUUUCCUCAUCAUACAUGUUGCCAAAUACGAAGGCAAUCAGUCCUUUCGUAUUUGGCAACAUGGAUGAUCUUAGAUAAAUGCGAUCAAUAUGGUAUUCGACGUCAAGCAAAUGACUUAAAUAUUCUCUUUCAAACCGCACUCAAUGCGUUUAAAUUGCAAACCGAAAUAAUAAAUAAGAAGUAAUAAUAAACUUAUCGAAUAGAAGUUCCACUUAACGAAAGGUGUACCACAAGGAAGUACCUGGGGUCCACUUCUAUUCAUAGUCUACAUAAACGACUGUACACUAUUUGUUGAUGACAUUUCUAUUGUAAUUAAAUGACACAAUGAAUUGACAUAAUUAUAUAUAAAUUAAUAAAACAAUAAAGGAUAUAAUUGAAUGGCUUACUGAAAACAACCUGUACAAUGUUUC